rnacentral:lncRNA from 1 species
GUAUGGCAUACAGGUGAGAUAUAAGGGUACAUCAUCAUUGAACGUGACCAACUCUAGAGUAUUCUGCUGUCGAGAAUGUCUCUGAUGGGAUAUAGGUAUAAGUGUCCCUUAGACCUGAGAUCGCCUCAGUGACUUGCAAGCAACUCACUGUGCUUUGGUACUGGACUAACUAAAUUUUUAAUUCAGAGAUAGAAGGCUUCUGGACACAGUCAAGUACUUGCGAAGUCAGAGUGUGAUCGAGAUGGGAUUGACCACUCCAAGAGUUGGAGAAGAAUGAGUCACUGUAUUUCAAUUUAACAAAACCUUGGCCAGGGUAAUCUAUCAGAUGGAUUUGAUAUUUUGAAAUACAAUGUGGACAACCUGAUCAAAGUUGACAGUUGAACUCUGGGGUGUCCUAUGAUCAUUUUGGUCAAGGGGAUGAAUUAUAUGAAAACUAUAUCCGCAUGGGUUCUAAGGAUGUUGUUCUAUACAUUCGACCUAUCUGGUCGUCGGGUACCAUUGCUAGAUGGUCACUUCGAUUGGUACAAAAAUUUAUUUCUGUGCUACCGACUUAGAGUUGGACCUAUGAGGUCAUACAUAUUAGAGUUCAUGAUCCGAUCGGAUGGUUGAUCAACGAUUAAGAAUCAUUCUAGGGUUAAAUGAUCAAUACGAUUGAUAUUUAACCCAGUGCAAGUGUUGCAGGAGGAUCGAUUAGCAAUUUGAUUGCUAAUUGGCUUAAUUUGAUUAAGCCAAUGGGCUGAGAUUAAGUCUAAUUAAGUAUGAUUUAAUUAGAUUU